CGGACGGGUGAGUAACGCGUGGGUAACCUGCCUCAUACAGGGGGAUAACAGUUAGAAAUGACUGCUAAUACCGCAUAAGCGCACAAAACCGCAUGGUUUGGUGUGAAAAACUGAGGUGGUAUGAGAUGGACCCGCGUCUGAUUAGCUAGUUGGAGAGGUAACGGCUCACCAAGGCAACGAUCAGUAGCCGACCUGAGAGGGUGACCGGCCACAUUGGGACUGAGACACGGCCCAAACUCCUACGGGAGGCAGCAG
rnacentral:rRNA from 1 species